GGUGCACAUUAAGUUUUGAUUAACACUCGCUUAGACCAUCUGUAUAAACUUUAGUUUAUACAAGCAAAAGACAGGGAACUCUGUGAUGAAGAAAUCUCUAAGGACUCUGAGAAGAAUGGUCCUGUACUCGAGUUUGAGUUUUAAACUAGGAAAAUGACUAAUAAUUGAAAAUAAUGGGAACUCUGUGGAAUUUUCUUUGUAUGUCAUCAUGAAAUUGCUGUGUAACAAACAACCAAGAUCCAAAAUAGCAAGACUGGGAGGUACGACUGCAGAAAAAAAUUCAUCCCAUGAUAAGAACCAAUGGGUUGAAACUGUCCAAUAAACGUUGCUUAAUGAA
rnacentral:lncRNA from 1 species